AUGUACAAACCACCACAUUACUGCCCUCCUCUGGAGAAACUGCAAAUCAUGUGUAACCUUCUUAUAUGAUGACCUUUAUUUAUUUAUUCUACUCCGUCUUCUUCUUUGAAUUUAUUAGCGGUUGGCAAGGCAACGUGUUGGCGCAAUACCGCCACCUAGUGGACUGGAGUGCAGAGCAGGACAGUGCAGCACAAGUUAAAGACACCCCCCGUGUAGCCUCAGAAGAUGGGAGAACAGACAGAGAUGGAUCCCCCAUCAUGCACUGGGAACGGGUCGAGAGUUCAGCCUGCAGGCUCUCCAGGAGCAACGAACGAGUGCGGAGCUUGGUAAGAGGGACAGGAGAGCACACAUGGCAGAGAGAAAUCAGAGAACAAGCUUGGAUAUUUACGAAUAAAGAGCAUAAAUAAAGACUUUUUUCCCCUCUA